AGUGAACGCUGGCGGUAGGCCUAACACAUGCAAGUCGAACGGCAGCACAGUAAGAGCUUGCUCUUACGGGUGGCGAGUGGCGGACGGUUGAGGAAUACAUCGGAAUCUACUUUUUCGUGGGUGAUAACGUAGGGAAACUUACGCUAAUACCGCAUACGACCUACGGUUGAAAGCAGGGGAUCUUCGGACCUUGCGCGAUUGUAUGAGCCGAUGUCGGAUUAGCUAGUUGGCGGGGUAAAGGCCCACCAAGGCGACGAUCCGUAGCUGGUCUGAGAGGAUGAUCAGCCACACUGGAACUGAGACACGGUCCAGACGCCUACGGGAGGCAGCAGUGGGGAAUAUUGGACAAUGGGCGCAAGCCUGAUCCAGCCAUACCGCGUGGGUGAAGAAGGCCUUCGGGUUGUAAAGCCCUUUUGUUGGGAAAGAAAAGCAGCAGGUUAAUACCCCGCUGUUCUGACGGUACCCAAAGAAUAAGCACCGGCUAACUUCGUG
rnacentral:rRNA from 1 species